GAUCUCAGCCAACAGUGACC
rnacentral:misc_RNA from 1 species